rnacentral:rRNA from 1 species
UCAAAAACAUGUCCAUGUGACUAGGUUUAUAUGGUCUGGCCUGCCCACUGACAGUAAGUUAAAGGCCGGGUAUUCUGACGUGCGAAGGUAGCAUAAUAAUUAGUCUCCUAAUUAGAGGCCUUGUAUGAAUGGUCGGACAAGAUGGGGAUCUGUCUCAAUAUAAUAAAUAUAAUUUAAUAUUUAAGUAAAAAAGCUUAAAUAAAAUGGAGGGACGAUAAGACCCUAUAAAGCUUUAUAGGUACUUCUCUUUUUACUAAUUAUUUAGGUUAUGAAAAUAUUAAAGAAAAAGGUAUUAUUUUACUGGGGCGGUAAAAGUAUAUAAAAGAAUAACUGCUUUUAUUUUAUAAAACAAUUAUAAUUGAAAAAUAAAUUGAUCCAUUAUUAAUGAUCAUAAAAACAAGUUACUUUAGGGAUAACAGCGUAAUUUUUCUUGAGAGUCCUUAUCGAAAGAAAAGUUUGCGACCUCGAUGUUGAAUUAAGGAUGACCUUAAGGUGCAGCAGCUUUAAAGGUAGAUCUGUUCGAUCUUUAAUU